ensembl:rRNA 5S_rRNA 5S ribosomal RNA
GUCUAAGGCCAUACCACCCUGAACACCCCCGAUCUUGGAAGCUAAGCAGGGUUGGGCCUGGUUAGUACUUGGAUGGGAAAAAGACAAGACACUUGCAGACC